rnacentral:rRNA from 1 species
UGCCAGCCGCCGCGGUAAUACGGAGGGUGCGAGCGUUAAUCGGAAUUACUGGGCGUAAAGCGUGCGUAGGCGGUUGAUUAAGUCAGAUGUGAAAGCCCAGGGCUCAACCUUGGAACUGCAUUUGAAACUGGUCGGCUAGAGUUUUGUAGAGGGUGGUGGAAUUUCCAGUGUAGCGGUGAAAUGCGUAGAGAUUGGAAGGAACAUCAGUGGCGAAGGCGGCCACCUGGACAAAAACUGACGCUGAGGCACGAAAGCGUGGGGCGCAAACAGGAUUAGAUA